ACCUCUAAUCUCCAGACAGCUCUACUUUAUGAUUUGGAUUCUAAAAUUGGUGCUCGCAAAGUGUUUGAUAAAAUGUCAGUGUUUAGCAUUUGUGAUUUUUGAGAUGACGGUGUUAGCACAGGGGAACGGUGGGUGUGAGGUUGAGACUUGGGAGACAAUGGGACGUCAGGUUGCAAGGGAGGGGCGCUUAAAAUAGAUGAGCAAACUUUUGAUUGUGUUAAAAAAGAUAUUUUGAAGCUUCUAAUGGAUCGAUCCACCUAUAGUAUUCCAUCUUUUUAACUUAUUUUGGAUAUGGAGCGGAUCAUGUUGGAUCGUAGAUCAGAUCCAAAUUCAUAUCCAUCCAAUGACAGCCGCGUUGAGGACAUGCUCGAUGAGAUUCACGGUCCAUGAAUCAUGGAGCAUCUUAUUUUACAAAACUCCAGGUUUUUGCCAGGAAUAGAAGGUAAACGAGCAACAAGCUGCCUCACUUAUUCUUUUUGUAUGGAAAAAACAAGAUGUCUAAAAACCACAUUCAUGUAUCUUGUCAUCAUGAUGUUAGUGCGCACUGCAUGACCUCUUAAUGUAUAUUAUACAUAUUAAUUUUUUUAUAUUCUUGUCAGUA